rnacentral:misc_RNA from 1 species
GGUGAAGAACGUAGCGAAAUGCGAUAAGUAAUGUGAAUUGCAGAAUUCAGUGAAUCAUCGAAUCUUUGAACGCAUCUUGCGCUCCUUGGUAUUCUGAGGAGCAUGCCUGUUUGAGUGUCAUUAAAUUCUCAACUACACUGACUUUGAAUUGGUGUGGCUUGGAUUUGGGGGGAAAAUUGUUGUGGGCUUUUUGUAUAGUCUGCUCCCCUGAAAUUGAUUAGCGGUACCUUUGUGGAACUGUCUACAGGUGUGAUAAUUAUCUACAUCUUAGACAUCUGCUGGAAUGCUGCUUUCUAAACCUUACUUGUAUUGACAAUCUUGACCUCAAAUCAGGUAGGACUACCCGCUGAACUUAAGCAUAUCAAUAAGCGGAGGA